rnacentral:rRNA from 1 species
CUACGGGAGGCAGCAGUGGGGAAUAUUGGGCAAUGGGCGCAAGCCUGACCCAGCAACGCCGCGUGAGGGAAGAAGGUCUUCGGAUUGUAAACCUCUGUCCUAUGGGACGAAAAAAAUGACGGUACCAUAGGAGGAAGCUCCGGCUAACUACGUGCCAGCAGCCGCGGUAAUACGUAGGGAGCUAGCGUUGUCCGGAAUUACUGGGCGUAAAGGGUGCGUAGGCGGCGAUGCAAGUCAGAUGUGAAAUCCCCGGGCUCAACUCGGGUUCUGCAUUUGAAACUGCAUUGCUUGAGUGCAGGAGAGGAAAGCGGAAUUCCUAGUGUAGCGGUGAAAUGCGUAGAUAUUAGGAAGAACACCAGUGGCGAAGGCGGCUUUCUGGACUGUAACUGACGCUGAGGCACGAAAGCGUGGGGAGCAAACAGGAUUAGAAACCCUGGUAGUCCG